GUGGAUGUGGUAUAAUGGUUAGCACGUUCCGUUGUGGUUUCAAGCAAACCCGGUAAGAUCCCGGUUCGAUUCCGGGCAUCCACA
rfam:Wallemia ichthyophaga EXF-994 unplaced genomic scaffold scaffold7, whole genome shotgun sequence.